rnacentral:lncRNA from 1 species
GACCCCCGCUGGCUGUGAGGCAGUUGUGGCGAUUGUGAGGCAGCUGACGGAGACGUAAUUCGCAUCAGGCGCCAUCGUACAACGCGCCAACGAUGCAUGAUGCCAUCAACUAGUUACCAGAAAGUCGGCGGGGAACGCGGCAUCCGAACGUGCACACAAUUAGACCCCCGCCGUGAGAUGUGUCGGUGGCUGUGAGGCAGUUGUGGGGACAUGUCUGGCAGGCUGACAGGGCUUCCAGAGGCAUAAACCGCAUCAGCCACCGUCGUACGCCUGACCACGAUGCAUGAUGCCAUCAACUAGUUGCAAAAAGGCGGCGGGGAACACGGCUUGAUGAGUCACGCUCGCUAAGCAACCAUCAUGGGGAAGGGAUGUAAAACCGUCCUCCUCUCGGAUGGGUCGAACUACUCCCAGUGGCUUGGCGACUUAGGCGAUUUCCUUGCGACGACCAAGUUGAAGA